GGGAGACUAGAGGACUGGGCGACAUGGGGAUACUGACACUGUGAUACAUAGGUACACGGAUGCCAGGCUGGCCUUCCAAUUCUUUGGAUGGGCAUACCCCCAUUUUGGCACCCCUUUUUGCAGUUCUGGUCACUUGAUUCGCAUCAGUGGCCUACUCUUUUACCCUGCCCAUUGGCUUCCUGCUUCACUGGACACUGCUGUUAGGGGGUAUGGAUUUACUUAAAAGAUGAAAGUAUAAAUUAG